UGGCCGUAAACGAUGUGGACUUGGUGUUGGAAUGGCUCCGAGCUGCUCCAGUGCCGAAGGGAAGCUGUUAAGUCCACCGCCUGGGAAGUACGGUCGCAAGACUGAAACUUAAAGGAAUUGGCGGGGGAGGCACCACAACGGGUGGAGCCUGCGGUUUAAUUGGACUCAACGCCGGGAAGCUCACCGGAUAAGACAGCGGAAUGAUUGCCGGGCUGAAGACCCUGCAUGACCAGCUGAGAGGAGGUGCAUGGCGUAGUCGUGU
rnacentral:rRNA from 1 species